GACGAACGCUGGCGGCGUGCUUAACACAUGCAAGUCGAACGGUGAAGCGCCUUCCUUUUUGGUGGGUGUGGAUGAGUGGCGAACGGGUGAGUAACACGUGAGUAACCUGCCCCCUUCUUCUGGAUAACCGCAUGAAAGUGUAGCUAAUACGGGAUAUUCUGGGUCUGUCGCAUGAUGGGUCUGGGAAAGAUAUUGUUUCGGUGGGGGAUGGGCUCGCGGCCUAUCAGCUUGUUGGUGGGGUGAUGGCCUACCAAGGCGGUGACGGGUAGCCGGCCUGAGAGGGUGGACGGUCACACUGGGACUGAGACACGGCCCAGACUCCUACGGGAGGCAGCAGUGGGGAAUAUUGCACAAUGGGCGCAAGCCUGAUGCAGUGACGCCGCGUGAGGGAUGGAGGCCUUCGGGUUGUGAACCUCUUUCGCCAGUGAAGCAGGCCUGCCUCGUUUGUGGGUGGGUUGACGGUAGCUGGAUAAGAAGCGCCGGCUAACUACGUG
rnacentral:rRNA from 1 species